CUGGAUGUAAAGAAAUAAGCAGAACAUGAAGAAGGAAAAUAAAGGCUCUAUGAGAUGUUUUCAUGGCUACAAAUUUCUUAAGACAAUUCAGUGCAAAGUGACGGAGAUGGAAGUUGGGAUGAAGGAGAGGAAGGAGGUUGGUGCGAAAGUCACGUUUGGUACACUAUUCUUUCAAGAAUUUUGCCUGCUGCACAGGGACGCCGACUCACAUGCCUGGGUGGAGGGAGUGGGUGAUUAUUUAAAAAAAUAAUAAAAAUAAAAAUAAAAAUAAAAAUUCACCCACCUCCCAUGUAUUGUGAAUGGCCUGUAUAGGCCCUAUUUUCACACGAGCAGUAUAGCCAGCAGGGUUCUUCUUUCAAUCCCUAUCAUAUCUGUAUCGAGUGCGAUGUAAAGAACCCAAGUCACUCUCUUAUUUAUUUACAAUAUUUAAUUUAAGA